UCACAGUGUCUGUGUCUUUUUUGUUCAACACUUUUUGGGCAUCUAGCAGGCAGCCACAUAAAAUUCACAAUAUGUACACAUAAACGGAGGCCAUUCCCGGGCAAUCUUCGCAAGAAAUUCAACCUAAAGCUCGAGCCAUUUUCAAGCAGCAGCAAAAAUGUCUGACAAGCCGAAGUCCAAGCCCGUGACCAACACGAGCGGUCGGGGUGUCACCAAGGGGAACAAGGCUGGGGUUAAGCCACAGACGGUGGUACGUGCCCCAACCACGCGCACCAAUCAACAUGAUCGGAUUUGGAAGAUUAUGAAAAUGUAACCUGGAGACACCUUUUGAAUCUCUUUCUUGAGGUGAGGUUUUCCAUGGGUUUCAAGAGGCAUUUCUGAUCUCAACAGCAAGAUAUUUUCUCUGCAGAUUUCAUACAAUAACAACAAUAAUUCGAACUCUUACAAUAGUUGGCACAGCUACCACACUUUCCCCUCAAAAUGUUAACUUAAUUACAAGUCUGUUUCCUUUCCCUAUUUCUUCUGCAAAUAAUUUAAAAUAAAACCCACCGUUUUGCUUGUGCUAAGCGCUGAAUAAAGCGAAAAAGUCCCAACACAAAAAUAACUCUUAUAAAUCCCCAAUGUGCCCACUGGAACGCGGGCAGAGCGCAGGCGCUGCGCUUGAAGAGUAAAGUGGGACAUUUGAGCUGCUGGGCAAUUUUCUCUUUACAUUUGGCAAUGUGGCUCACUGUGUCAGAAGGUGAAUUUGCGGUAAAUAUUGCGAAUGCA